GCCAGGCACGGUGGCGCAUACCUGUAAUCCCAAUGACUUGGGAGGCUGAGGCAGGAGGUUCAUGAGUUCAAGGCCAGCCUCAGCAACUUAGCAAGGCCAUAAGCAACUUGGUAAGACCCUGAUUCAA
rnacentral:sRNA from 1 species